rnacentral:rRNA from 1 species
UACGUAGGUGGCAAGCGUUGUUCGGAAUUAUUGGGCGUAAAGGGCGCGUAGGCGGUUUGUUAAGUCGGUCGUGAAAGCCCGGGGCUCAACCCCGGAGGGUCGACCGAUACUGGCAGACUAGAGUACAGAAGAGGUAACUGGAAUUCCCGGUGUAGCGGUGAAAUGCGUAGAUAUCAGGAGGAACACCGGUGGCGAAGGCGGGUCUCUGGGCAGUAACUGACGCUGAGGAGCGAAAGCGUGGGGAGCGAACAGG